GCAUGCAGAUUUGUAAUUUUUGCCAGUUUAGUGCAAUUAAUCGCUGUAUUUCAACAAUGAGGUCAAGUUGUCAUGCAGUUCCCAACCCUUAUCGACCUGUUGUUGUUGUUUUAUGGCGGUCUUGACACGCCAACGUUGCUUUGAAGACGGCAGCUGAGUACGAGUGGUUUCAGACAUGGUCCCCGUCUUCAAAAUGACCAUUUCAAAAGGCAACACGAUCGCAAGUUCAGUGCACACAGUAGCAACAACUUGGCCUCCAACAACUGGUUUCCUUUGCAUGACUGUAGCAUCAGGAUAUGUCAGACUCUGAAUGUGAAGCCGAAGCUUACUUGAUUGGGCGUUAUAGUCGUAUCAAACAUGGUGACCUAGAGACUGGCACCAUAAAUUCAGCAGGAAAAGUGUUUAGAAGAGAUCAACUGACUGACAUCCAGACAACUGGACCCCCUUUUGCAACCAGGUGUUGAUGCUGGCUGGUCACUAGAAAGAAAACAGAUUUAAGGCAGUUUUCAUUAGCACCAAACAUGAAAGUAUUUGCAUUGGCAAACCUAAACUUUGACUUAAUGAUGGCAUGAUACCAUUAGAGACUUGCUGAAACUGGAUAAGGAGGCGGGGGAUGCUUUUGCACAAAGAACAGGCAUACAUGCAGGCUUUAAAUCUUGCCUCCUUUCUUUAUUAAUUGAUUUAAUCAAAAACACGACUGUCACGGUAAAUUUUUGGAUUGCGUUGGUGAAUCUCCACUCUGAGCAUCUAACAAGAUUAAAUUCAAUGUUGCUUUUUCUGCAAGCUUUGCGGUUACAGUGUGAAGAUUAGCCUUUCUACACCAACAGCCGGCCCUUGAUGGAAGCAAAAAUGCAGAGUCACCUGUCGAUAAACUCCAGACACGAAAUCCAUUUUUACAGACCCAUGAGAUCUUUUCCUGUUGCUCAGUAUUGCUAAGCAACGCCUGUAAUUAUGACAGACACGCAGGUCAGCUGACCCGGGCCUGAUCUGCCUAAGAAGUGCCGACGGACUGCUGAGCCCUGCAGUGCACGGAUGAAGGUGAGCCGACCUCAGACUGAUCACCGUGACCACAGAGUACUUAGGAAGCAUUA